CUCAGUUUGUCGUGUCUUUAGAUUUCGAACUAUUUUCAUCCCACCUGUAGUGUACAGACUUUAUAUAGAGUCUUUCCUAGUCUCUUAAUAAUAUUAAAUAAUAGAAUCAAACUUGUUGGACCACCCACGAUACAUGGUACGUUGGUUUUGCCAACUCUGCUUUGGUACAUUGCAAUGUCUUGGAGACAGUGUCCAGUGUUUUCUAAAGGGAUGGAAUUUAAAACUUAACAAAAUUGUCUUUAGGUAGGUUGGAAACCAUCAAGGUUAAGUCCUGUUUGCUGGGCACCCAUAGGUCGUUGAAACCUUUGCAGAAAAGUCUUAUGCUUUUUCGUAAGGACAAUAAUUAUCUGGAGGCCUCAGUGGAUGUCAGGGCAGUGUGUCUUGAUCCAUCGUAUGCACAGGGCAACUCAUACAGAACCACCUUGGGCACAGGGCAGGACACACAGAACUACCAUGUGCACAGCGCAGGACACACAGAACCACUAUGUGCACAGGACAGGACAUGAAGAACUAUCGUGUGCACGGGCAGGACAAGCAGAAUCACCGUGUGCACAGGGCAGGACGGGCAGAAUCACCAUGUGCACAGGGCAGGACACACAGAACCACUGUGUGCACAGGGCAGGACAUACAGAACCAUCGUGUGCACAGGGCAGGACACACAGAACCACCGUGUGCACAGGGCAGGAUGUGCACAGAACCACCGUGUGCACAGGGCAGGGCAUACAGAACCACCGUGUGCACAGGGCAGGGCAUACAGAACCACCGUGUGCACAGGGAAGGACGGGCAGAAUCACCAUGUGCACAGGGCAGGACGGGCACAGAACCACCGUGUGCACAGGGCAGGACACACAGAACCACCGUGUGCACAGGGCAGGAUGUGCACAGAACCACCGUGUGCACAGGGCAGGACACACAGAACCACCGUGUGCACAGGGCAGGACGGGCACAGAGCCACCGUGUGCACAGGGCAGGACACACAGAACCACCGUGUGCACAGGGCAGGACGGGCACAGAGCCACCGUGUGCACAGGGCAGGACACACAGAACCACCGUGUGCACAGGGCAGGAUGUGCACAGAACCACCGUGUGCACAGGGCAGGAUGUGCACAGAACCACCGUGUGCACAGGGCAAGACGGGCACAGAGCCACCGUGUGCACAGGGCAGGAAGCGCACAGAACCACCGUGUGCACAGGGCAGGACGGGCACAGAGCCA
rnacentral:lncRNA from 1 species